CGAAGACCCGUCCCCCGUCCCCCUUUCUUUCUUUCACUUUCUUUUAUUUCCUUCCAACAAAACCUAAAACCUUCUCUUCUUCUUCUCUUCUCAUUCAACUCUUCCAUCUUCUCAUCUCUUCUUGCAAUUUCACACCAUUAUCAAACUCAUCUUCAUCAUCUUACCUUUCUUUCUUUUUCUACUCUAUCUCUAUUUAUUCAAAAUCUCAUUUUCUCAAAACCCCAAAUCAUGGAAUGUCAACUUAAUGAGUGAAAGAAGCAUUCAACUUUGAGUUCUAAUUAUUAUUGAGGUUUCAAGAGUUGUAGAAUUAUUGGACAUCAUUUGGUAGCUCGUUGACGCGCUCAGAGUUGCUUCCGGUUCUUUGGAAUCAAGUUAUACAGGAGUCAUUUCAGGUUCCAUUCCACCUACCCCUCAGUAGAUCUUAGUCAUUUUGGUGAGCCCUUCUUCUUUCCAAGGGCUAAGUAUUAUGUAAUGGAACCUUUGCUCAAAAAUUUAGAUUAUGUCAAUGCUCCAUAUGUCACAGGCAGGAUCCUCGUGUGGGUUAUGUUAUUUUGAAUCUUGAACUGUUUAGGUAGUGAUUACGAUUUGGUUAUGUAAGACUUAUGGUUUUAACUAUGUACUCUAGCUAUCAACUUGAUAUAUAUAUAUGAUGCGUAUUUUGGAUAUAUUUGGUUGUGGAUAUGGUUGGAAUAUGUUGUUGUCUUUGGAAAUGGAUGUUUAUUUUUUGA